rnacentral:rRNA from 1 species
UACGUAGGGGGCAAGCGUUGUCCGGAAUCAUUGGGCGUAAAGAGCGUGUAGGCGGCCCGAUAAGUCCGCUGUGAAAGUCCAGGGCUCAACCCUGGAAUGCCAGUGGAAACUGUCGGGCUGGAGUCCGGAAGAGGCGAGUGGAAUUCCUGGUGUAGCGGUGAAAUGCGCAGAUAUCAGGAAGAACACCAAUGGCGAAGGCAGCUCUCUGGGACGGUACUGACACUGAGACGCGAAAGCGUGGGGAGCGAACAGG